AAGAAGAAGAAGAGAGCUAGUUCAAGAGGAGCGUCUAUGGUUAAAACGUAUAUCAUUUUUAAUAUUUUAUAGAAAAUGACAGAUCGUUUCACUAGGUAAGACCCUUAUUCCUCGUCUGGUAUCGUUUAAAGCCCUUUGAAGCUGCACUGAAACUAUAAUUUUGACCUUCAACCGUUUGGAGGCCAUUGAAGUCCAUUAUAAGGAGAAUAAUCCUGGAUUGUUUUCAUCAAAAGCCUUAAUUUCUUUUCGACUGAAGAAAGAAGGACAUGGACAUCUUGGAUGACUUGGGGAUUAGAGCUCGAGUUGCAGGAGCGUUUGAGGAAAGAGGAAGUUGAGUUUCAGAAAAGGAUGAAAGCAACAGAUGAAGAAAAGCAGAAGUACGAGAGGAAAGCGGAACAGCUGAGAGAGAGGAUAGAGAGAAUAAAAAUAGAAAAGGAAGAGAGAAGAAGGAUGGAGGCGCAAUUAUACACCUAUCUGACCGACAGAGGGAGACAAAGCUCCGUCUGGCUCAAGAUCAGUGAUUCGAUGGGAGAGUCACUGUCAACCCCACAAACC